rnacentral:rRNA from 1 species
UACGAGGGGGGCGAGCGUUGUUCGGAAUUAUUGGGCGUAUAGGGUGCGUAGGCGGUUUGGUAAGUCUUGUGUGAAAUCUCCAGGCUCAACUUGGAGUCUGCACGAGAAACUGCCGGGCUUGAGUGUGGGAGAGGUGAGUGGAAUUCCUGGUGUAGCGGUGAAAUGCGUAGAUAUCAGGAGGAACACCUGUGGCGAAAGCGGCUCACUGGACCGCAACUGACGCUGAGGCGCGAAAGCUAGGGGAGCGAAUGGG